rnacentral:rRNA from 1 species
UACAGAGGUCUCAAGCGUUGUUCGGAUUCAUUGGGCGUAAAGGGUGCGUAGGUGGCGUGGUAAGUCGGGUGUGAAAUUUCGGAGCUUAACUCCGAAACUGCAUUCGAUACUGUCGUGCUUGAGGACUGGAGAGGAGACUGGAAUUUACGGUGUAGCAGUGAAAUGCGUAGAGAUCGUAAGGAAGACCAGUGGCGAAGGCGGGUCUCUGGACAGUUCCUGACACUGAGGCACGAAGGCCAGGGGAGCAAACGGG